ACCACAUGCGCGUCAACAGAUGAUUGGCUGAGGAUUCUUUUUUGUUACUCUUCGUUGCCUUGUCGCGUCUCUCUCUCCCUUUCUGUAUUUGGCGAUUGGUUCGACGACGAAGGCUGUGAACAAGGGUGAUGCUUCUGCUGUUGUUAAGUUGAAGAGCGCUAUCAAAUUCAACGGCGGAGAGAGGAUGAAGGGAUCUCUUGGCAGCGCUAUUGACACUCACUUUGGCUCCCUAGCUAGAAGGUUUAGUGAAAGAUGAGUGCUGAAGGUGCAAGGCUCAGGAUGGCUGAUAUACAAAAGAGCAGGUGAGGCGGCAUGUGAAGCUUUGUUGACUAGGUUAAGCGAGCAGAAAGUUUCUCUUUGAAGACAGACUCAUGAAAUGGAUCUCCCGGUCCUUAGCUGCGAAGUGCAUUCUUGCAGCUAGGUUUGAUGCGGGAGACUAUGGCGUAGUUAAAGGGCUUCACUACAGAGCUUAUGUAGGGAGAAGGUUGGAGAGGGAGAUGAAUACGAGAGUUUUUAGGAAUCUGCGUAGAUAACAAAACUAUUGAUGCAUACUAUGAGCAUUUGCACAAUUGCACUAGUACAGUAUGAAAAACGUGAUUUUGUUAAAAGGGUAAGAAGACGCAGGCUUGUUGGCUGCGGCAGACGCAACUCUUGCGACGACCGAUGGUAGAAGCGCUUUGAUGUUUUCUAACUUGUGUGCAUGAUACAAGUUUCGGUAUUUCUUAUGUUCUUUUUGUCGAAAUAUUAUGUAUAAUUUUUUAUGGUUUUAUAAAAGUUUGUUGCAUAAAAUAAACGUAUAUAUUAUAUCAAUGAAUUAUACAUAUUUUAAAUAUUUCGUAAACCCAAAGCUCUCAAAUAAUCCGAAGAUCCAAAGGAUUAUAAUUCAUAUAAACUAUAAACCCAGUGAAACUUUGAGAUUAAAGUGUUUUUAAAGGAAACUAAAAAAGAUAUUGUAUAGAUAUUUUUUGAAUAUGAUGUUAAAUGUAAA